AUGGUUGGUGCACUGCAAUAUUUAACUCUGACUAGGCCUGAUAUUUCUUUUGCUAUGAAUAAAGUAUGUCAGUUUCUUCAUGCACCCACCACAGUACAUUUGACAGUUGCAAAACGCAUACUUAGAUAUAUCAAGGACACUUCCAGUGUUGGACUCACCUUCACCAAGUCACCAUCAACACUUGUAAGUGCCUUUUCUGACUCUGAUUGGGCAGGUUGUCUUGAUGACAGACGCUCAACAGGUGGUUUUGCAGUGUUCUUUGGUCCAAAUUUAAUCUCAUGGUGUGCUAAGAAACAAGCUACUGUGUCUAGAUCCAGCACAGAAGCAGAAUACAAAGCACUAGCAAAUGCUACUACUGAAAUUAUCUGGGUUCAGUCAUUACUGAAAGAGCUUGGGAUACAUAGUAAACAGGCUCCAUGCUUAUGGUGUGACAAUCUGGGUGCCACCUAUCUUUCUGCUAACCCAAUAUUUCAUGCAAGAACAAAACAUAUCGAAAUAGAUUUCCACUUUGUCAGAGAAAGAGUUGUAGAAAAAAAGCUGGAUAUUCGGUUCAUUCGGUCUCAAGAUCAAGUUGCAGAUGGCUUCACUAAAGCUUUGCCUACCAGAGGUUUUGAAGAAUUUAAGCGUAAUCUCAACUUGUCCAAGUUGUGA
rnacentral:rRNA from 1 species